GAUGAACGCUGGCGGCGUGCCUAACACAUGCAAGUCGAACGGAGUCCAGCCUUCAAGACCUUCGGGUCAAAGAGGGGAAGACUGAGUGGCGGACGGGUGAGUAACACGUGGGCAACCUGGCUCAUAGAGGGGGAUAACAGAGAGAAAUUUCUGCUAAUACCGCAUAAGCACACACUGCCGCAUGGCAGAGGGUGAAAAGAGAAUCGCUAUGAGACGGACCCGCGUCUGAUUAGCCAGUUGGCAGGGUAAGAGCCUACCAAAGCGACGAGCAGUAGCCGAACUGGGAGGAUGAACGGCCACAUUGGGACUGAGACACGGCCGAAACUCCUACGGGAGGAAGCAGUGGGGGAUAUUGCACAAUGGGGGGAACACUGAUGCAGCGGCGCCGCGUGAGUGAAGAAGUAGUUAGGUAUGUAAAGCUCUAUCAGCAGGGAAGAUAUUGACGGUACCUGAAUAAGAAGCCCCGGCUAACUACGUG
rnacentral:rRNA from 1 species